rnacentral:tRNA from 3 species
GGGCUGGUAGUUCAGGGGUAGAAUGUGCGCUUCGCAAGUGCAAGGUCGUGGGUUCAAAUCCCACCCAGUCCA